GAAGAACUUCAGAAUCCGAAUUUGGAAGUGAUGCAAGAAGAAGAGGUGGACAGAGAGGUCCAUGAGGAAAAUAGUUCAAAUGAUUCCUCUGAUACCAUUAAUUAUGACUGGGUACCUGAAGAUCAAAACAUAUUGAUUAACAAGAAACAGUUAUUGGAGGUAUUAAAGAAAGCAGAAAAAGGACUUAAAGAAAACUAUUCAAGUUUGCAUGAAAUGCGCC